GAUAGACAAUUGAAGACGAUAGGUUAAAAUGGGUCAAGUGGCAUUUAUUAUUUGGGUGAUGAUUGAAAACAUGACUAUUACAAAACAUCAUCUUCUUGUAUCAUGUCUCCUCUAGAUUUGAUUUACUAGGAAAUCUAGCUACUUUUCUAAUAGACCAGUCAAUCAGUAACAACAAAGCAAUUUGAGUUAGCUUAGAUGUCGUAGACUCAGCCCACAUGGAAUAUACGUGCACAACAC
rnacentral:lncRNA from 1 species